rnacentral:rRNA from 1 species
CAGUCGCCACGGUAAUACGAAGGGUGCAAGCGUUACUCGGAAUUACUGGGCGUAAAGCGUGCGUAGGUGGUGGUUUAAGUCCGUUGUGAAAGCCCUGGGCUCAACCUGGGAAUUGCAGUGGAUACUGGGUCACUAGAGUGUGGUAGAGGAUAGUGGAAUUUCCGGUGUAGCAGUGAAAUGCGUAGAGAUGUGGAGGAACACCGAUGGCGAAGGCAGCCCCCUGGGCCAAUACUGACGCUCAUGCACGAAAGCGUGGGGAGCAAACAGGAUUAGAUACCCCCGUAGUCCCUGUCUCUUAUAC